rnacentral:rRNA from 1 species
UACGUAGGUGGCAAGCGUUGUCCGGAUUUAUUGGGUUUAAAGGGUGCGUAGGCGGCUUUGUAAGUCAGUGGUGAAAUAUGGCAGCUCAACUGUCAGGGUGCCAUUGAUACUGCAGAGCUUGAGUACAGAUGAGGUAGGCGGAAUUGACGGUGUAGCGGCGAAAUGCUUAGAUAUCGUCAAGAACACCUAUAGCGAAGGCAGCUUACUAGGCUGUAACUGACGCUGAGGCACGAAAGUGUGGGGAUCAAACAGG